UACGUAGGGGGCUAGCGUUGUCCGGAAUCAUUGGGCGUAAAGAGCGUGUAGGCGGCCCGGUAAGUCCGCUGUGAAAGUCGGGGGCUCAACCCUCGGAUGCCGGUGGAUACUGUCGGGCUCGAGUACGGAAGAGGCGAGUGGAAUUCCUGGUGUAGCGGUGAAAUGCGCAGAUAUCAGGAGGAACACCGAUGGCGAAGGCAGGUCACUGGGCCGCAACUGACGCUGAGGAGCGAAAGCGUGGGGAGCGAACAGG
rnacentral:rRNA from 1 species